rnacentral:misc_RNA from 1 species
GGAUGAGAACAGGUUGCUUCCCGCAAUGAAUAAAAUAUGGCCCUUUUUGGUUGCUUGCAUUCGGAACAAAAACCCAGUGGCUGCACGAAGAUGUUUAAAUGUGAUAAGCAGUUCAGUACAAAUCUGUGGAGGAGAUUUCUUCACACGACGUUUCCAUACAGAUGGAUCUCAUUUCUGGAAGCUUCUGACGUCGUCUCCUCUGAGGAAACAAAACGUGAGAGAUGAGAAGGCAGUGCUACAACUUCCCUAUCGAAACGCAUCUAUAUCAUCAGAGGCCUCGGUCGCUGAAAGUUCCAAUUUGAAAGUUCAGGUCGAACUGCUGAAUAUGAUUGCUGAUCUAUCUAGAAACAG